rnacentral:lncRNA from 1 species
AGGACCUGCACGGCUCUUCUUCCUGCCACUUGUGGAAGCCGUUAGCAGUCACUUCAGUCAUAUGAAAUCCACAUGUCAUUUGCACAUGAGGCUUCUAUAAGCGCUCACGCACAGCAGGAUGGCUCAGGAUGCAGAGCAGAGGGGUGAGACGAUCCUCCCAGCACUGUGGGGCUGUAUGGACCGGAGCAGCACUUCCCCGCAAGGGGAAACAUCCACAAACAAGAGCUUCCCUCGUCUCCCCCUGGUUCAUCCAUCCGUCAGUAUGGAUCCCACCAGUAAUUUGGUACAGAAUGUGGUCGGCAGCCAGCAAGCACCCUUGCUGUGUUGUUACAUUCGUGAAGAAUGAGCCCACUUGCUGUGAUGGCUCCAAUUCCUUUGGAUUUUGUUUUUCUGUCCCUUCUGUUUGCAAUCAAACUGUGGUUUUGCUGUUCGCCUGCUUUCCACGUUGCACUCCACAAACACCCCCCUGGAAACGGAGCGCCCACUGCAGCAGCAGCAGGGCUACAUUCUCACUUCCAAACAGACUCAGCAGUGGGGAACCCAAGCCAAAGGUGCCCAAAUUCCCCCUAGACAGAGCAUUCCAGCAACCUCAGCAUUGCUGAGCCGCAAUCCUCACAGCGUCCUCAUCCUCAUCCCAAAGCCCUGCAGACACAAAGCAGACACCUCUCUUGCAGCACAGCCAGACUCCCAGACCCCAAGUGCUGCUGUCCUUCCCCUGCCCUCCUCUGCUGCUUUUCUCCCAUAGCCAGCUGCAAACAUCAGUGCAAAUGCACACCUGCAGGGAAAGGCAAAAGCUCCUCCACGAAAGCAGCAAGGAGCAGAGCUGGACCAGGAUGAGAACUCGCAGUUAUACCGUGCCCGUAGCUACCUGCCAUAAAUCUGGCACAAAGCAGCUGUCGCCAGUGAUUCAUGCUGGGGAUAUAUCCAGCUCAAGGUAAGCUGCCUGCUUGGCACCGACUGUCAGCACCUUCAGCUUUUUUUCUGGGUA